AAGGAUUAUGAAAGUGAGGAGAAGUUCUCUAUACCUGAUGAUCGCAUCAGCCACUUGCUGCCAUCAUCAUAUCAAGAUAUGAUUGUGAGAGUCUACUCCAAAAAGCCCCACCUGGUGGAAGCUAUUUCUGAUGCAUUUGAAAAUUUCCAGUUAAAGACUUAUGGAAUAAAAGCACAGGUUCAUGCAACACCUGAGAAGAAAA
rnacentral:misc_RNA from 1 species